AUACGGAGGAUCCAAGCGUUAUCCGGAUUUAUUGGGUUUAAAGGGAGCGUAGGUUGACAUAUAAGUCAGCUGUGAAAGUUUACGGCUCAACCGUGAAAUUGCAGUUGAUACUGUAUGUCUUGAGUGUACAAGAGGUGGGCGGAAUUCGUGGUGUAGCGGUGAAAUGCUUAGAUAUCACGAAGAACUCCAAUUGCGAAGGCAGCUCACUAGGCUACAACUGACGCUGAGGCACGAAGGUGUGGGUAUC
rnacentral:rRNA from 1 species